rnacentral:misc_RNA from 1 species
UUUCCGUAGGUGAACCUGCGGAAGGAUCAUUAAAGAGAAUAUGCCCUUCGGGGUAGAUCUCCCACCCUUUGUGUAUAUUACCUUUGUUGCUUUGGCAGGCCCGUCUUCGUACCACCGGCUUCGGCUGGUCAGUGCUUGCCAGAGGACCCAAAACUCUUAUUAUUAAUGUCGUCUGAGUACUAUAUAAUAGUUAAAACUUUCAACAACGGAUCUCUUGGUUCUG